rnacentral:rRNA from 1 species
AUAUGCUUGUCCCGACGCUUAAGCCAUGCAAGCCUUAGAAGAAGUAGUUGAUCCCAAAUCUGCGAGCGGCUCCGUAUAUCUGUUAUCACUCCCCGCCCCGGGUAUCCUCGGAUAUCCCAGGUAAUUCUUAGGCUAAUACGUGCUUAUUUCGGGGCCGCCUAGCUGGGUGGGUUCACCGCCACGUGGCGGCUCCGGGCUUGCGGCGUCUUGCCAACGGCCCCCCCUUUCGGGGGGGGGCUCGCGGGAGGGCACGCAAGGGGCCCUUACCGUCCUUGCGGCGGUGGGGGUCGAUAGGCUCCAGACCUAUCAACCACGGCGUAGGGGAGAGCCCCUCGCCGGUGAUAACGGGUACAGAGGAUCAGGGUUCGGUCCUGGAGAGGUAGCCUUAGAGAUCGCUACUACUUCUAAGGAAGGCAGCAGGCGCGCAACGUUCCCAAUGGGGAGGACCCUGAGGACGUGAGGGGGCAUAGCAAUGCGGUGCCCUAAAAGGCGCUGCAAUUGAAAUGGGGGCGUCUUAGAUCCCCCACCGAGUAACGAUUGGAGGACAAGUCUGGUGCCAGCACCCGCGGUAAUUCCAGCUCCAAUAGCGUCUCGUUAAGUUGCUGCAGUUAAAACGCUCGUAGUCCCAGCCGGUGGCGCCUGGCAGGAUCCAUAGUAGCCUGGGUGAAAACGUAGGGGCGGGGGGGUGUCGCGGCGGUGCCACAGGUACGCGCCCCUUACCCCCUCCCCCGAGCCACCCAACGAAAUGGUCCAUACCACCCACCUAAUCGCCCUGGACCGGGGCGGCGGGGCUUCAGUGCCCUGCCGCCCCACCAGGGCACCAUACUUUGAGUAAAUUUGAGCGCUCAACGCAGGCCUCUAUGGCCGCCCUUGAAAAUCCUAGCAAAGAAUAUCGGAACAGGACUCGUCCUGGCCCGUUGGUACUAGGAGGAUUAAUGAUUAAUAGGGGGGAUCGGGGCCGGCCACAUGGCGGGGGUAGGGGUGAAAUCCGUUGAUCCUCGCCAGGUGAACUAAAGCGAAAGCAGCCGGCUAGUACCCUUUCUUUGAUCAAGAACGAAAGUCUGGGGAUCGAAGAUGAUCAGAUACCAUCGUAGUCCAGACCCUAAAUGCUGCCGACCAUGGAUGGGCUAGUGUCCAUCCCGACCCGGCCCGGACCUUGGGGGAAACCACGAGUGUCUGGGCUCCGGGGGGAGUAUGGUCGCAAGACUGAAACUUAAAGGAAUUGACGGAGGAGCACACAAGGAGUGGAGCCUGCGGCUUAAUUUGACUCAACACGGGGAAACUUACCAGGGCAAGAAGGGGGUAUGAUGGACGGCCGAUCAGGGCCUUCAAGAUUCCCCUAGUGGUGGUGCAUGGUCGUUCUUAGUUCGUGGAGUGAUUUGUCUGGUCUAUUCCGCUAACGAGCGAGAACCCACUCUCCCGAGGUUAGGUCGCGCGGGAUCGUCCCCCGGUCGGGACCCCACCCCUGCCCGCAAGGGCGGGGGAGGGGACCCAAUGGUGCGGUAAAUGACCCGUCGGCUCGAUCCAGGGGAACCGGCUUCGAUAAGGGGUCGGGAGCGGGUCAAUAACAGGUCAGUGAUGCCCUUAGAUGCUCUGGGCCGCACGCGCGCUACAAUGGGGGGAAUUAGCGGGUUCUCCUGUGCCGAAAGGCGGCGGGUAAUCCUCGAAAGCCCCUCAUAUCCGGGAUAGGGGCGUGGAACGCGCCCCUUGAACAAGGAAUUUCUAGUAGGUACGGGUCACCACCCCGUGCCGAUUC